CUUCAGCUCAUAUAAGGUAAAAGGCAGCGAGGCCUCGGUGGCCAGAGAGCCACGGGCAAGGGGCUGAGCUGAGGGGGGUUCCAGUGCCAGUUGCUUAAAAAUGCCCCUGUAGCACCAAGAGGUGCCAGACCCAAGUGAACUUAGUUGAGAAGCAAUAACACCCACAACCACACCCCAAAUAGACUGGGCCUCCACCUCCGAAGAUUCAUCCCUGGACCAGACACCAGUCAAGGCAAGAGUGAUGGCUGGUAGGAUUCCUCCUACACUGGAGAAGAGCCCCAGAGAGGAACCUUCCUGAGAAGCCGAAAAGGGACAGCAACAGCCGCCCAGCUCCCAGAACUCGUCCCCUCCUCUCACCCCUCCCGGGAGCUUCCCAACGGACAGAAGGGAGAGAUCCCCUUGCCUGGAGACAUCUUCUGAAGACAUGGGAAAAGGAGACGAGGCGGGCUACUCCCUGGCAGCAGGCCUUCAAGCUGUUGACAACCAGUACCAAGAAGAGUGCCAGGGAGGCUACAUUUGAGGGAGCCAGGGGUCCGGACAAGCUCUGCCUACCAGCCCAGGACGUGUAUGUUCAUGGGCCCAGAGAAAAAAGGCAUUCCUUCCUGUCCUACUGUUCCUUCCCACCAUCCCAGUCCCCACCCCACCCCUUCCAGGAGGCCUUUUGAGCUACUCAAGGGGUGGGGGGAAGGAACCUCCCUGGCCACGAGCUCUUGGCAGUCUUUCCACGGGCUCUCUAGAGUUCCGAUGAGUCUGCCCCCAUGCCCUCCUCGGUGCCUUCCUUCCCCCUCAGCCUCUGUGUCCUGCAAGGACAAGGACAGUAUUAAGGCUGCAGUGCAGGGACAUACUCCCUUAGCACAUAGAGAUGGUUCUGGAUCUGCUGAAUGAGCUGUCGCACACCCAGAGAGCUAAGAAACUGAGAUGUCAGGCAUGGAGUUGAAGGUGAGGGGCCAGGCCCAGCAUGGUGCCUUACACUCCAACCCCGGGGAAAAUUCUAUUUCCUUGGAGUCUUGGAGACCUAUGGGGAUAUGUGCAUUUAAAUGUUCACCAGCUUGACUAUUCUAGAAUCACAGGGACAGAAUGAGACAGUCUUUAUCCAGGGAUGGGUCAAGGAAGAAGAGGCAAAGACCUUUCCUGGCUGAACGCCUCCCUCUCCAUACUGUCUGGCCAUUUAUGUCUCCUUAAGGAAGAUGGACCACCUUCUGUCUAGUUCUCGUGUCCCGCCAAGAAGAUGUAAAAUCUUUGCCACGUUCUCCUUUAUCCCAAGGUGGGAUGGCAGCAGCUCUCAUUUCCCCUUUCUGAGUUGCUGACUGCAAAUCUAGAAUGCCCUAUCCCCAUUCCUGGUCCUCCAACCAAGGUGAUCAUUUCCAGCCACAAAAGCUGACCAGAAGGUAGAGCAGGCUCUGCUGUCCCGCCCCAAACCUAAUCAGUGGAUGUCCUGUUUUUCACUGCAAUUUUAUUGUAAAGAGUAAGGGGAAUCCUUUUAUGUACCUAGGUUGGAAUACUUGUUAUAAAUGGAAAGCUAACACCAGCCAGAGUUUUAAACAAUAAUAAUAAUGAAGAUGCAACAUCAGUA
rnacentral:lncRNA from 1 species